rnacentral:rRNA from 1 species
UACAGAGGGCUCAAGCGUUGUUCGGAUUCAUUGGGCGUAAAGGGCUCGUAGGCGGCCAACUAAGUCAGACGUGAAAUCCCUCGGCUUAACCGGGGAACUGCAUCUGAUACUGGAUGGCUUGAGUUCGGGAGAGGGAUGCGGAAUUCCAGGUGUAGCGGUGAAAUGCGUAGAUAUCUGGAGGAACACCGGUGGCGAAGGCGGCAUCCUGGACCGACACUGACGCUGAGGCGCGAAAGCUAGGGUAGCAAACGGG